UUGAAAUUAUUAACAAAGGGGAGGAAAGAGGAGAAGAUUUACGAGAGAAUUGAAGCGCCUAAGUUCGUCGAUUUCGCGAAACCUAACCCCUCUCGCACUGAUGAUCGUUAGGUUCCGCUCCCAGGUUAAUUGUUCAAACACUGGAGAAGAACAUGAAAGAUGAUCUUACUGCUACUGGUGCUGAUCCUGCAGUGGUGAAAUAGAAAUGAUAAGGGCACUGAUGAACAAAGUUAAUGUAACCAUGCUACUGUUGAUAUAUAUGAAGUCACCAGUUGAAGUCUCGUCAUGUCACCGGAGGGUUUGUUUGGCUGUUAAUUCCAAGACCCCAUAAGAUAAUUCAAGGUGCACGCAAACUGGCCCGGACACCCAUCAUUACCAAAAAAAGAAUAUUUCUUGCAGAAAUCUUGCUUCAAAUUGAAUCAGCAUAACUCAUGAUUGAUGGAACCGACUGUAUGCAACUGCAUGAUUGUCUAUGGCCUGCUUGUCCUGUAAGUGCUUCUUUGUAUCUAUUGAAUAAUGACACUUCCAAAGUUUAUUCAUAAUUGAUGAUAGAAAGUUUUUGAUAGCUUUUGAUUUUGUUCAUUUUUUGGAUGACAUUUUAAGGUUGAACCAAAGUUUAAGGUGGAUAUGUGUUGUUGGAAUGAUACCAUUAUUGAAUGCAAUGUUCUUUUUUUCAAA